rnacentral:lncRNA from 1 species
UUGUUGGCAAAGUGUACAUGUGUUGUCCACAUUGAGUUUCCACUGUUCCAAUCUAUCCAUUGUAGGCAGCCUAUUCUGUAAUAUCAGCCAGAGAUUGAAGACUGCCUUAGGUCUAGCAUAGUUUUGGAUAGUGAGGUUCUUCCACACUACUCUUGGCAAUUGUCCAAUCUGUUGUAAGUAAAGUUUCUUGAUAGAGCAAGCUGGUUGUUGUAGCAUCUGUGACUGCUGCAAUGUAAUAGUAGCAGCAAUGAUCUUCCUAACCAUCCAACUGGCUUGGUUAGGAAUGGUUAGGGAUUGAAAUUGUUGCUGUUUUAUGUACACAGAGUGUAUCCAUUUUAUCCAUAGAACAUCUUUCUUAUUGGCCAGAUCCCAUCCAAGUUUCAUGAUUGUUUUAUCCAUAGAACAUCUUUCUUGUUGGCCAGAUCCCAUCCAAGUUUGAUCAUUGCAGCUUUGUUCCAUAAUAACAUAUUCAUAAUAUUUAAACCCCCAGCAGACUUAGGCAGGCAGACUUUGUCCCAGGCUACAUAUGAUUUUUUGGAUAUGAUGGCUGAACCUGUCCAAACAUAGGAUCUACAAACUGCAUCCAGCAUCUUUAGUAUUUUUGAAGGAAUAAGAAAAAGCUGAGCCCAGUAUGCUUGUAUACCAAAAAUGACUGACUGCACCAGCUGAACUCUCCCUGCAUAGGAUAAUUUUCUAGCAGUCCAGGAUGUGAUCCUGGCAGUAACCCUAUCCACCAAUGGUUGCCAUUGUAGUAAUGACAUUUUCUUGGCAGUUAGAGGAACUCCCAAAUACUUGAAAGGUAACUCUCCUUGCUAUUAUAGUAAUAACAUUUUCUUGGCAGUUAGAGGAACUCCCAAAUACUUGAAAGGUAACUCUCCAUAUACAUAGCCAAGAUGAUUGACAAUGUGUUGUUGUGCAUCAGGAGAGACACCUCCAAAAUAGACAGAACUAUUACUCGGGUUAGCAGUCAUACCAGAAGCCUCAGUGAAUUGAGAGAAGUAUCUGAACAUGGUUGUGACAG